CCUUGCAGUCUAUGUUCAGUUAGGUGUCAUGGCGUCUUCCCAUGUUGUAGUUGACCUGUCGUUUACUUAAUUCUAUUUGUGCUUCGAUAUUUAAGUUGUCUAUUCUUGUUGUUUACAUUAUACAAUUUUAAUGUUAGUAAAGUAUAUUUGGAUUUUAUUUGGUUGAAUGAUGACACUCCCGAUGAGAGAAGAAAUGUAUCUCGCCCGUUACAUUAUAAAUAGCUAUUUUCGUAAGCAUGCUAUCAUCUAAUAUGGAUGACGGUAUUCUAUUUACUGUAAAUUUGCACCGGACCAUGGGAUAAAUCAUCUAGUUACGCUCCCCAAGGAUGUUAUUGAAAAGAGCAUAUCGCAUUAUACAAGAGCAAGGUGCAAUUUUGUCCGAUUCCGAUUCUGCGAGUGAAAGGUGUAACUGUGGCAAGAAGAAGAAGGCAAGCUGAAGAU